UACACACGGUGUCUCUGCCACCCUCUGAUGGCAGCAACAGGCUCAGGCACUCCCUGCAUCCAGAGACCUGAACUGCCGCAUUUUUGAGCAGGCAGUCAAUCUGGGUCACCACAGACUUUCUGGGAAGAGCUUUCUGCCUAGUGCAGACCAUGGCUUGUUUACCUACAGGUAAACGGCCGAUAGACGAGCUACUCUGAGUGAGGAGGGACGCUAUGCCCUGUCCGAACGCUCCCUGCCCUGACUGAGGCGCCCCGCCCCGUUUGCCCCCUCUGCUCCUUGCGCUCCGGGCCGCUCGCGCUCCCUAGGGGCUGCCUUUGAACGGAGGCAGGGAACGGACGCCGCUCCUGGCUCCGCUGACGCCUCGCCGGCCGCUCUCUCAAGAGCUGCCGGGCCCUGGCGGCCCCCUCGGCUGUCUCGAGUUGCCUCGAUGCAGGAAAAAAACCCUCACACGCCGAGAUCCCCCCGCUCCGCUGCAGAACAUGUCUGCCCCAGAGCCGAUCGCCAGGAAAAACUGAACUAUCUCAUGAGGGGAAGAAAAGCCAGUACUAAUCACAAUCAUAACAUAAUGCUUUAAAUGAAUGCUGGUUGAAUUAUUAUGAUACUACGGAAAGACAAGUGUUUGGAAAGCUGCCUUCUAAAGAAUAUGAAAUAAUUAGUAUCCUUUUCAAGAUUCAGAAGGUAGAGAAGUACUGAUAUUCCAACCAAUCAUUUGCCUUCAGUGAAACUAAUCUUUUUUAACAUGACAAAGUAAGAUCUGAGUUUCAUAGGUUGUAUAUAUAUUAUAUUAUAUAUAAUUUGGAAGUUCUCGGUAGCUCUCCCAUGUCUUUGGGAUAAGGGUGUGGAACAUCUAAAUUAUUGGGCACGUAAUUAAUUUUCAUGUUCGGUGAAGGAGAAAAAUGUUUUCAUCAAAAAAAAAAAAUUGGAAAUGUCUGUCUAGUCUAAUUUUGACCUGAUUCUAUCCCUUUGGCGAUGUAGGUGUGUUCAUUUUUGCUGUCCUACUACUGAUUAAAUUAUCUUUCAAAGACUUUUUCUGAACCACUGGUAUAUACUUUCUUUUCAUACUUUAUGCUGGUAAUAGCUACCAAGUGAGAACUGAAAGCAGUAAUGGUAUUUAGAGAUUUUUGUUUGUUCAGUUUUUCUGUCUCACAGGAUUCUGGAAGCUAGAAAACAAGAAAAAUCCUUAGAUGUCAAUAGGGAAAAAGGACUAUUGGAAAUGAGAAUAAGAUGGAAAUCUAGGAAAUCCUUCCUUUUCUUGAAAAUAAACCCCAAACUAUACCCUGGAUUUGAAAGAAA
rnacentral:lncRNA from 1 species